UGUGCCAGCAGCCGCGGUAAUACGUAGGGUGCGAGCGUUGUCCGGAAUUACUGGGCGUAAAGGGCUCGUAGGUGGUUUGUCGCGUCGUCUGUGAAAUUCCGGGGCUUAACUCCGGGCGUGCAGGCGAUACGGGCAUAACUUGAGUACUGUAGGGGUAACUGGAAUUCCUGGUGUAGCGGUGAAAUGCGCAGAUAUCAGGAGGAACACCGAUGGCGAAGGCAGGUUACUGGGCAGUUACUGACGCUGAGGAGCGAAAGCAUGGGUAGCGAACAGGAUUAGAUAC
rnacentral:rRNA from 1 species